AGCGAACGCUGGCGGCAGGCCUAACACAUGCAAGUCGAACGAAGUCUUCGGACUUAGUGGCGGACGGGUGAGUAACACGCGGGAACGUGCCUUUAGGUUCGGAAUAACUCAGGGAAACUUGUGCUAAUACCGAAUGUGCCCCUCGGGGGAAAGAUUUAUCGCCUUUAGAGCGGCCCGCGUCUGAUUAGCUAGUUGGUGAGGUAAAGGCUCACCAAGGCGACGAUCAGUAGCUGGUCUGAGAGGAUGAUCAGCCACAUUGGGACUGAGACACGGCCCAAACUCCUACGGGAGGCAGCAGUGGGGAAUCUUGCGCAAUGGGCGAAAGCCUGACGCAGCCAUGCCGCGUGAAUGAUGAAGGUCUUAGGAUUGUAAAAUUCUUUCACCCGGGACGAUAAUGACGGUACCCGGAGAAGAAGCCCCGGCUAACUUCGUGCCAGCCGCCGCAGUAAUAC
rnacentral:rRNA from 1 species